AUGAAGUGGGUUUGAUUACUCUUGUCUGUUUUGUGAAAUCAAGUUACGUCUGUGAUUGAAGAAUUAAAAGGGUGUCUAUAGGAUUGAGUAUGCGGAGUGAAUGAAAUUUAUUGAGUUAAUCUAACAAGACAGUUAGUGGAUACAAGAUCGUAAGUACAGAGCGGUAUCGGAGAUUAGCAGAUUGGGUUGUUCGAGGUUCUCUGUAACGUCUAGAGACCUACCGGCUGGGACAAAAAGGACUUCGACAAGCAGUCGAAGGGCAUCCGUAUAGAUUUACG
rnacentral:lncRNA from 1 species